AUUGAUAAAAUUCCCUCAUUCAAACAUGAUUCGUCAACCAGAGGGACAUUUCGUGCACAAAGAAAACUUUCGUACGAUUUCCCUCAUUCAAACAUAACAUGUGCCACGUUCUUCACAGGCCUUUCCGUUUCCGAUGGCUGCGAUUAGACACCUCCCAGGUAGCUGAUAGACUAGAGCAGAGGAGCAGUGCAGAACUACCGGACCUUAACCUAAGUCAGAUCGACCACCUAGCUAGCUGCAGCUGCAGUUAAAUUCGAUCCCCUCCUCUUUCUUUCUUCUUCUCCCCAGCUGGCUCACACAACAGACAACGCUCGCCCCCAAAUCGAUCCCCUCCCGACCUCAAGAAUCCACCAUGGCUGCAAAGGAAGAGGAAGAGGAAGAGGAUGAGGAGUACUGAUAGAUCCAGGCAAAAGAGUAAUCCAUCGCCCGCCGCCCGGGAACAUCGUAUGGAGCGACGGCGAUGCACGCGUACGUACGUGGCUGAAUACAUACGGCCAUAGGUAUUACUUGACAUCAUAGGCAGCAGUAGCAAAUUGAGGUUAAUGGAAAGUGCAACUGUGUGCAUGUUAUUAAUUCAGGUGGAGUCAGCUGGAGUUGAGGCUUGAGGUGAAAGUAAAGUGAGAAUAGAAGAGCAUGGAGGCCAGCAGCAGGCAGCCAACCAGCUGACAGUGUAGCUAAAAGGCAGAAUGAUGGGGACUGCCUCAUCCCAACCAAAGAAAGAUCUCUGCAGGAAAGGACACGGAAUUUCUUCUCUUCCUGCUAUCGAUCACUGCACAUCCACAUAUAUGCUGACAUGCCCUGGCGUCCCUAUCCCCUUCUUCCCUUCCCCUCAGGCUACAGAGCAGCUGAAUCAUGCAUGCAUGCGAAUACAACUAUCUAGUACGGGGUAGUAGUUUACUCGUAUACCUA